AGCAAAAAAGCAUAAUGAAGAGCAAUGGGAUUAAACGAGUGAGAGGGACGCGUUUAGUGAGAUUACGGGGCGGCAGACCCCCAGACCCUCCCUGUCGCUAGAUCAGUAAACACAUCAUUCGGUUCGCUGGCUGCAAGGAGCGCAGCAGGCACGGGACAGCAGCUCCUGCCUCUGCAGCGAGUGGGAAGCUCCUCUGCUCCCAGCGCAGACACCUUUGCUCAGCCCGGGCGGGGCCCCUUAGCCGUGUGACUUAAGAACCGAGCCUUUGCCCUCUGGAGGAGCAGGGGAGCCAGGCAGCACGCUCGGCACUGGCCGGGUGGCUGCCCUCGCACGGACAGCAGGUAGGUGGUCAGCAGUACCACAGCCUGGGGCAGACUUCCGGCGUGCCUGAUAUGUUGCUGCAUUCCAAUCCCGUAUUCCGAUCAGCCCAGAGAUUUUACAGCCUUUAAAGUCUUUAGUGAGUUUCUUCAAAGAUGAAAUGCGCUGCUGCGAACACGCCUAUGCCAGCUCUGAAUUGGAGCUGGAGUCGUGUCGCUUUGAAGCCGGGUGAGCGCCUCGUGUCCCGAGGGCUGCGGGGCUGAGCUGGGCAGGGUCUAAAAGCACGCUGUCAGCUCCAGCUCCUCAUUCAGCAGUGCCUGGCAGCAGCCAGGACACCCAGUAAUGUGUGCUCGCUUCUGAAGGAAGAUUGUACCCUGAUCCCUGGGCUCGGGCUCACCCUGCAGCAGACAGUGCUCUUGUUUAAAUUGCUGUUGAUGCCUUCUCCAGACAAAACGCCCAAACAAGGCAGCUACCACCGGAACAGAGUAAGACAACUUGUUUAUCAGACAGAGGAAUGCUCCUCAGCAGCACGGAGCAGGAGGAAGAGGGAGCUGCCGUCUGCAGGCCCAGCGUGGGCAGUUCAGAGAUGGUCUGCAUUGUUCUACAUCAGGAUAACAAGGCACUUCCGCAGCCCCUUUCCUGUGGGAAUCCCAACAGGUUGUUGUCCUCCCCCUGCAGGAAGGGAAGCGUGGCACCAGGGGGCUGAAACAUCCCAUCUGUCAGAUGUCUGCACUAAGCAGUAUGUUCUUCUCUUCACCUUUGGUGCUUUUCCUAGUCUUGGGUGCCAGCCUUCACCUGUUCAGCUUUCCCUUCCAUGGUAGAUGCAAGCAACACGCAAGAUACCUCCUAAGAAUAGAGAAAUGAGACAGCUCAACGCUGCAAUUUAGUAACAGAAGUAAAAGGGGACGUUAAUGGAAAACAAUUGCAGCUCUGAUUAAGACCCAAGAUAGGAAUUUCCCUUCUCUGUAAGAAAUCAGCUCAGCAUCUGCUGAUUGGGAGACUCGAGAAAGGAUAUGACUAGCUCAGCGACAGGGUCUCUCUUCCUAUAAACUGUGGAGCAAACCAGGAUAACCAACUUGCACUUAGACUGUGUCAGACAGGCUGACCUCGCCUUCCUUCUACAGUGAGACCUACAGGGAGAUGAACCUUGCCAGACUGAUUCACUGAGCCCUUCCAGGUCUGCACACAGCUAUCCACUGGGACAAGCACAGGAGAAGGCAAAGCAAGGGCCAGGCUGGGGCACAACACCGUGCUUUUUAGGACCCUGUUUCUGCAGGUCUCUAUCCACAGAGAAUGAGGUUUGAGAAGGAAGGAAGGUGCAGGUGCAUGCUGGGACCUCAUCCUAGUCUGGCUUUGGGCAUAAAUGGAGUGACUGCUGCCAGUGGUGAAGGUCACUUCUGCACAGAUACAGCCCCAGCCAGCAAUUUCUGAGCACCUAAAGGAGAGAACCACGCUCUCGCAGUUUGCUGGCAAGAUGCAGCCAGCAAAUUCUGGCAGUGAAUGUGGAUGCUGGUAUAGAAAGAGAGGAUCCUGUCAAUGGGACAAAAGGGUGUUGGUGCUUUUUUCCAGUGCGGGCUAUUUGGCUUUGAGUACGAGUAAGAAUUGCACUAAUAAAAUGCCUCUUUUGUGUGCAGACUCUA